UGGGGAAUAUUGCACAAUGGGCGAAAGCCUGAUGCAGCAACGCCGCGUGAGCGAAGAAGGUCCUCGGAUUGUAAAGCUCUGUCCUUGGGGAAGAUAAUGACGGUACCCUUGGAGGAAGCCCCGGCUAACUACGUGCCAGCAGCCGCGGUAAUACGUAGGGGGCAAGCGUUAUCCGGAAUUAUUGGGCGUAAAGAGUGCGUAGGUGGUUACCUAAGCAGGGGGGUGAAAGGCACUGGCUUAACCAAUGUCAGCCCCCUGAACUGGGCUACUUGAGUGCAGGAGAGGAAAGCGGAAUUCCCAGUGUAGCGGUGAAAUGCGUAGAGAUU
rnacentral:rRNA from 1 species